CGGCGUCCCCUGUCGCGUAGGUGGGUUGGUCUUCGGGAUUGGGAGACGCAAGCCCAGCUCCGCGCCUUACCUGGCGCCUCCAGUCCCCUCCCCGGCAGCCUCGGCCCCGCUCUGGAAAGAUUGGCCUGCAGUUGCAUCCCUCGCUCACACGGAGCCUUGAGCCCUGAGCCCUGGGGUAACGCGGUUCCGCUACUGCCAGAUCGGCAAGGCAUUUUGCAGAGGAAGAAACUGCAGUGUCUGGCCUGCAGUCAUCACGCCUGUAGACAGGAGAGGCAACAUCCGUACGCAGAGAACAGAGUGUCCCUUUUUUGUAUUACAGUGGCAUUCUAUAGUUUUCAGAAAUGAUUUCACUGUAUGAACUACAUGGUUCAGUUCCCAAAAGAAAGACAGAACAACCAUCAUACCUCCAGGCAGUUGAUAAAGAGCAGACCUGUACUUGAGAAGCAGUUUUAACAGCACAGAGCGGAUGACAGGAGUCUUGUCGACAACAUCAUCAAAUGGAGACAGAGACUUUGUGUGUUCGCAAUGUUCUGCAGCCAGAGAGAAGGGGACUAUAGUUUCGUAUCAUGGUACAAAGCUGAGCCCAAAUUUUGGUUUUGACCUUUAUGGGAGGAAGGGAACUCACUUUGGGAAGCAUCUCUCAGCAAUUCCUUUUGUACGAAGAGCAAGGACAGCAGUGUGUCAAUCACACUCUUCUCAGGGGGAGUGUUAUCCUUGAAGCACAUGGUAGAGACAAGGUCCACAAAGAAGCUGUUGCACAUGUGCCGGAACUGGGCAUGCUUCUCAAUGGCUUUCCUUAGGAGGGAGGGAGGGAGGAGGGAACUUAUGACAGAGGAAUUGUAGAGUGUGUUGCCCAAUACUUCCAGGCAGAGGGAAGGGAUAUUUGGAUAGUAUUUUGGUUUAAAUAUCAAGGUUUGUUUGACCUUGAACUCCACAAUUCUACAUCAGCCUCCCAAUUGCUAGGUUUAAAACUCGGCUGUGUUUUUUCGUUUUGUUUUUCCAUUUUGAUUUUGAAUCAACAAAUGAGAAGAACUUAACAAUGAUCAGAACUGGUCUUCAGACCUCAACAAUGUCAGGAAUGCUGCUGGGACACUACCAUUGUCUGGACCUAGAGCGUGGGCAAUAAACUGGAAUGGGAGUCAGGGCUGCUGAGGCUCUGUUCCUCUGUCUCCUGAAGGCUGGGCCACAUCCACCUACAUCAUCAGGCAGAGUCUAAGGCUGUGCUCAUACAGAAGAGGAUGUGGGAGAUGGUCCUAUCAGUACUGCCCUUGUACCUGUAUCUCAGCAUGAGGGUGUGUGGGGACAAUGAGGCAGAUUUCUAGACCUCACUGGUGGGUCAGCCAGGCAGAGCUGAGCUGCAGGGUUACUGAGGUCCCUGUCCAAAAAUAUGAGGUAGAGUGAUGAAGGAAGAUACCUGAUGUUGACUUGUGGACAUGUACAUACACGUGAAUACACCCACAUGAACACAUACAUAUACAUACAAAGAAGGCAAUGAUGGGCAGGGGUUGGGGGAGUGGCAGGGCACAGGCUGAGUCUCAGUUCCAUCUACAGCACCACUCAAGCCCUCCCCACUAAAAAACGCCAAGUGACACCUACAUGUUCGGUUUUCUUUCAAGGACUUUAUGACUUUCUGGCUUCUCCCCUAAGUUUGCUGUCUCCAUGUUGGUGCUUGUCUUACUUGGGAAAGGGGAGAGGUCCAGGCAGCCUUGCUUCUGGAAAUUCUCUGAAACAACCCUUAUGCCCAAGGAACGCUGACCAAAGAGUUGGCAUCUCCAGAGACAACAUUGGAAAAAACACAAGGAAGCUUUCUCAAGAGAAAGGAUGAUUUACCUGUGGUCCUGGGAAACAGUUGGUGAGAACUUGUCUGGCAAGUCAGUUAAACAGUAGGGGCACAUCAUUUGUCCUGGGAUGAGCCAGGUUUGAAUGCAACAUAGACAAUACACAUGAUCACAGGGCAGACAGACAGGAUCCUGUGCAUCUCCAUAGCAGAUGAAACAUGGCUGAAUACCAAACCUAGAACCCAAUAAAGUGAUCAAUUCCAGAGGAGAAAUGCUGGCUACAAGAAGCAGUUCCUUCCACCUCAAAUCCAGGUAAUAUCAAAGUCUUAAAUGACAUAUCUCACCUGCAGAAAUUCUUGCUGACCUUGUCCUUGCACUCACAGAGUGUGCUCAUCACAGCCACAAAUGGCCUUCGGGUCUUGAGGUCAGAGUCCUCUUCAAGACACUGAGGGGGAAGGGCCGUGGUGAGUACUAAGGGUCCACAGCGCGGCUGCAGAGUCCGCAGGUGUCGGGGAGUGACCCAGCACCCACUGCCUCAGUGGCUGCCGACACACAGUCGCGACCACAAAAGAGCAGCACAAGGCUCUUUGGAUGCUUGCCUUAAGAAGUUCCCAUACAGUCAGGGGCCGGAGCAGUUAAGACCGUUGGCUAUUCCUCCAGAGGAUCCUGGUUUGAUUCCCAUUACCCACAUCACAUGGCAGCUCCCAGGGGAUCUGAUACUCUGGCCUCCCUGAAUGCCAGGCAUACAUGCAGGCAAGACACCCAAGCAAGUUCCAGGACAGCCUAACUUACAUAGUGAGUUCCAGGAUAGCCAGAACUAAAUAAAUAGUGAGACCUUAUCUCAAAAACAACAAGAACAACAGACAAACAACAAUAAAAACCAAGAAGAAAUUUUCUACAUUUAAAUGUCCUUUAAAAACAAACUUUUAACCAGGUGUGGUGGCGCAUGCCUUUAAUCCCAGCACUCAGGAGGCAGAGGCAGGUGGAUUUCUGAGUUCGAGGCCAGCCUGGUCUGCAGAGUAAGCUCCAGUACAGCCAGGGCUACACAGAGAAACCCUGUCUCGAAAAGCCAAAAUAAAACAAAACAAAACAAAAAA